rnacentral:rRNA from 1 species
CAAUAGCGUAUAUUUAAGUUGUUGCAGUUAAAAAGCUCGUAGUCGGAUUUUGGCUGAGAACGAACGGUCCGCCGUUAGGUGUGCACUGAUUGGUCUCAGCUUCCUGGUGAGGAGGUGUGCUUCACGGCCACUUAGUCACCGUGGUUACUUUGAAAAAAUUAGAGUGUUCAAAGCGGGCUUACGCUUGAAUAUAUUAGCAUGGAAUAACACCAUAGGACUCCUGUCCUAUUUCGUUGGUCUCGGGACGGGAGUAAUGAUUAAGAGGAACAGUUGGGGGCAUUCGUAUUUCAUUGUCAGAGGUGAAAUUCUUGGAUUUAUGAAAGACGAACUUCUGCGAAAGCAUUUGCCAAGGAUGUUUUCAUUGA